rnacentral:rRNA from 1 species
UACAGAGGUCUCAAGCGUUGUUCGGAUUCAUUGGGCGUAAAGGGUGUGUAGGUGGCGCCGUAAGUCGGGUGUGAAAUUUCGGAGCUUAACUGCGAAACUGCAUUCGAUACUGCGGUGCUUGAGGACUGGAGAGGAGACUGGAAUUCAUGGUGUAGCAGUGAAAUGCGUAGAGAUCAUGAGGAAGACCAGUGGCGAAGGCGGGGCUCUGGACAGUUCCUGACACUGAGACACGAAGGCCAGGGGAGCAAACGGG